rnacentral:rRNA from 1 species
UACGAAGGGGGCUAGCGUUGUUCGGAAUUACUGGGCGUAAAGCGCACGUAGGCGGGUCGUUAAGUCAGGGGUGAAAUCCCAGAGCUCAACUCUGGAACUGCCUUUGAUACUGAAGAUCUUGAGUUCGGGAGAGGUGAGUGGAACUGCGAGUGUAGAGGUGAAAUUCGUAGAUAUUCGCAAGAACACCAGUGGCGAAGGCGGCUCACUGGCCCGAUACUGACGCUGAGGCGCGAAAGCGUGGGGAGCAAACAGG